GUACACGCACAUGGUUCGGUGGGAUGAGUCGAGCCCAGCACAGCUCAGCCCCCUUCUUCUCUUUUUCUUCCUCGCUCCCAGACACGCGCACGAAUGCGCUCCAUGGCGUCGCCGCAUGCCCGCCUCCUCCCGGCCGCUCACGGCCGUCUAUGGCGCCGGCGAGAUAGCGUUUUGGUUCGCCUCGAGGGGUGAUGCCCUUGAUGCUUUCCUGGUCGGUGAUGCUGGUGUGGUGGUGAUGUUGCUUUGCUCGUGGUGGCUGUGGUGGCGUACGUGUGAGGAAUGCGGAUGCUGCAACGAUGUUGCUGUGCUGACUAUUUCAUCUUCGACGCCGGUGGGACUGUGAUGUAAACGCAACCUCGACAUCGACUUGGUUUGCUUUUCUACAGCAUUGUGGUCAAAUUGGUUUGUUUUGCCUCCAAGUGCAAGCAUACGGCCGGUUAUGCUCGAUCUUAUCCCUAGUAGAUAUUUAUUUUGAUGCAGCCAGGUGGUACUUGAUUAAGUGUGGCUUUUCUUUGUUUGUC